CUCAGCCGUAUGAUGGGAAACUGUCACGUACGGUUCUUAGGGGAGGGGAGAGAGGCGACUCUCGAACCUUACCCGAU
rnacentral:ncRNA from 1 species